UACGUAGGGUGCAAGCGUUAAUCGGAAUUACUGGGCGUAAAGCGUGCGCAGGCGGUUUUGUAAAGUCAGAUGUGAAAUCCCCGGGCUUAACCUGGGACUGCGUUUGAAACUACAAGGCUAGAGUGUGACAGAGGGGGGUGGAAUUCCACGUGUAGCAGUGAAAUGCGUAGAGAUGUGGAGGAACACCGAUGGCGAAGGCAGCCCCCUGGGUUAACACUGACGCUCAGGCACGAAAGCGUGGGGAGCAAACAGG
rnacentral:rRNA from 1 species